AUGGGACUGUCUAGCUGCAGGAAAACAAGCUCGGGGCUACCACUGAUUCUACAUUAUGUCUUUAUUCUUCCAAGAGGUUGACUAUAGAGAUGAGAAGAAUGGACUAAUUCUAGAACCAAUAAUGAUGAACUAUGUUUGAGAAGAACUAAGAUCUCCAAACAAAUGUUAAUGCAUCUCUACUCCAGCUACAGAAAUCCAAUGUAAUUCUCUUAAUCUACUUACUCCAUUAUAUACAAGCAGAACUUUCAAGAAAAUACUCACUUAUUCUAGAUAUUUCUGUUUAGUGUCAGAAAGCGAAGAGACCAUGCAUACUUAAGCUGAUAAAAUGUCACUGAAGCAUCCAACAUAAGAGGACACGCAGUGCAUUCGAAUUAAAGAAAGCAGUGAGUGAUAGAAUGCCUGCACCUCCUUCUUCUUCUGAAAGUCUGAUCUCCUGGGAGUCUGCAUUUGAGGAAUGAAGAAAUACAAAUGGUCCAAAGCAUUGUGUGUCAAACUCAAGGCUUGAGCCCUCCAAGUGGAUACAACCGUUCUCAGGAGGGCAACAUCCGGUCUAUUCUAAUUCAAUGAGUAACUGAUGGGUCGUUUGGUUUUUUGCAUUAAAUAAAUAAAAGUAAUAUUAUUUCACUCAUUACAUUUUUUUCAGUAG